UACGGAGGGUCCAAGCGUUAUCCGGAAUCAUUGGGUUUAAAGGGUCCGUAGGCGGUCUUGUAAGUCAGUGGUGAAAGCCCAUCGCUCAACGGUGGAACGGCCAUUGAUACUGCAAGACUUGAAUUAUUGGGAAGCAACUAGAAUAUGUAGUGUAGCGGUGAAAUGCUUAGAUAUUACAUGGAAUACCAAUUGCGAAGGCAGGUUGCUACCAAUACAUUGACGCUGAUGGACGAAAGCGUGGGGAGCGAACAGG
rnacentral:rRNA from 1 species